GCCUACGGGAGGCAGCAGUCGAGAAUCAUUCACAAUGGGGGAAACCCUGAUGGUGCGACGCCGCGGGGGGGAAUGAAGGCCUUCGGAUUGUAAACCCCUGUCAUGGGGGAGCAAAUUAGAAAGAUAGUACCACAAGAGGAAGAGACGGCUAACACUGUGCCAGCAGCCGCGGCAAUACAGAGGUCUCAAGCGUUGUUCGGAAUCACUGGCCGUAAAGAUUGCGUAGGCUGUUUCGUAAGUCGGGUGGGAAAGGCGCGGGCUCAACCCGCGGACGGCAC
rnacentral:rRNA from 1 species